GACGAACGCUGGCGGCGUGCUUAACACAUGCAAGUCGAACGGAAAGGCCCUGCUUUUGUGGGGUGCUCGAGUGGCGAACGGGUGAGUAACACGUGAGUAACCUGCCCUUGACUUUGGGAUAACUUCAGGAAACUUGGGCUAAUACCGGAUAGGAUCUCCUGCUUCAUGGUGGGGGUUGGAAAGUUUAGGCGGUUGGGGAUGGACUCGCGGCUUAUCAGCUUGUUGGUGGGGUAGUGGCUUACCAGGGCUUUGACGGGUAGCCGGCCUGAGAGGGUGACCGGACACAUUGGGACUGGAAUACGGCCCAGACUACUACGGGAGGCAGCAGUGGGGAAUAUAGCACAAUGGGAGGAAGCCUGACGCGGCAAAGCCGCGUGCGGGAUGACGGCAAUCGGGUUGUAAACCAAUUCCGCUUGAGCCGAGGCGUGAGUGACGGUAAUGGGUAAAGAAGCACCGGCUAACUACGUG
rnacentral:rRNA from 1 species